rnacentral:rRNA from 1 species
UAGGGAAUCUUCCACAAUGGGCGGAAGCCUGAUGGAGCAACGCCGCGUGUGUGAUGAAGGGUUUCGGCUCGUAAAACACUGUUGUAAGAGAAGAAUGACAUUGAGAGUAACUGUUCAAUGUGUGACGGUAUCUUACCAGAAAGGAACGGCUAAAUACGUGCCAG